rnacentral:lncRNA from 1 species
CGCCUUUCAGCAUUACUUACAUGAAUCUCUUGUUGUCUCUUUUAACCAUCUCCGACGCUUAGGUGUUGGAUAUCUGGAAACUGAAGACAGACUAACCGCUGAAGCAAAGAGAAAAGGUUGGGGCUGCCUUAUAACUGAAGAAAAAACUUCCUGCCCUCUGGCACAAAAGUUACCAAACCUUAUCGCAAGGAACUACUCUGAGUUCCUUAAACUGUUCAAGCAAACGCGAGGGCUCACAGCCUCACACUCAGCACUGAGUGCUCUCAAGAGCUAUAGCCCAACUGAGCUGGAAAACUCCUUGAGCAGGUGUAAUCUUUCAAUAUGUUUGUUAUGGACUGCACCCUUGCCUGAUGCUGAUGAAAAGACCCCUGAUGUAGAAGUGAAAGCUUUGCCAUUUUGAGGAGCAAUAGCAAGAACAUGAGAUGAGACUUGAUCAUUUUC